rnacentral:snoRNA from 1 species
AUUUUAUGAUGAAUUGUCAUGCUAAUACUGAUGCACAAUCGUGUGUAUAUGUGUUCAAAUACAAUCUGAAAAUA